GGGGGUGUAGCUCAGUUGGUAGAGCGCCUCGUUCGCAACGAGGAGGUCAAGGGUUCGAAUCCCUUCACCUCCA
rfam:Verrucomicrobia bacterium GWF2_62_7 gwf2_scaffold_19820, whole genome shotgun sequence.